UCCCCCCUGGCCUGGUAAAGGAGCUGAAUGAGUGCAGUGCUUGUGUCUUCAUGUUCCGCUAACAUCCCUGAGGUUGGCUCCUACAUGCUAGCAGAACUGUGCGGCGCUCCACUCAGGAGCUCUCCAUGAAUAUCAGAAUUCGCAAAGUAUCCAAACGUGCAUGUUGAUAGUUGAGCUUUCCAGAGGCACUUAGAUUUGAACUGAAGGUGUUCAAAUCUCCUUUUUAUUUUUUAUUUUUAGUCAAGUACGAGCACCAUGUGGGAGGUUCGCUCCAUGUCUUUCUGGCGGGCGGUGUUUGCCGAGUUCUACGGCACCAUGUUCUUCGUCUUCUUCGGUCUGGGGGCCGCCCUCCGCUGGACCACGGGCCCUCACAAUGUUCUGCAUGUGGCCUUUUGCUUCGGGCUGGCGGCGGCCACGCUCAUUCAGUCCAUCGGCCACAUCAGCGGAGGACACAUCAACCCCGCCGUCACCUUCGCAUUCCUCAUCAGCUCCCAGAUGUCUCUGUUCCGUGCCAUCCUCUACAUUGUGGCCCAGUGUCUCGGAGCCUUGGCUGGUGCUGCCGUGCUCUACGGUGUCACACCCAGCAACAUGAGGGGCAACCUGGCCCUCAACACGGUGCAGCCAGGCAUCAGUCUGGGAAUGGCCACCACCAUGGAGGUCUUCCUCACCCUGCAGCUUGUCGUCUGCAUCUUCGCCGUCACAGAUGAGAGGCGCAACGGACGCCUGGGAUCCGCCGCCCUGGCUAUCGGUUUCUCAGUGCUGAUGGGACAUCUUCUUGGGAUUUAUUACACCGGAGCAGGAAUGAACCCAGCGAGGUCCUUCGCCCCCGCUGUGCUGGUCAAGAACUUUGUCAACCAUUGGGUAUACUGGGUGGGGCCUAUGAUUGGCGGCGCUAUUGGCGCUCUGCUCUAUGACUUCAUGCUCUUCCCUCGUAUGCGCGGACUCUCCGAGCGGCUGGCCACGCUGAAGGGCACCAGGCCUCCGGAGGCCGAGGGCCAGCAGGAGACCCGAGGAGAACCCAUUGAGUUGAAGACCCAGGCACUAUAAGCCCACAGAAGAAUCCCAUCUGCUAACCCCUCACUCCUCACUCCUCCAUCCCAUCCACAACAGCUGAGUCACAGCAUGUGCUCUUGUGCCUCCCUCUUUUUUGGACUGCAGGACAAAGAUGACGACCUCCCUUCAUCUUUCUUUCUCUUCCUUUUCUAGUCUGCUAGGAGUGAAGCUACAGUAGAGACUUCAGCAUGCUUUUUUUCUUCUCCAAUUUGAGCCGGCAUGAUUUUGCCCUUUAUAGUUUUGUUCCAGCAACCAUCGCUUAUUGACAUGAAUAACUCAGAAGACUGUCCAAGACUAGGCCCAUAUCCUCUGUGGCCCUGAGAGAGACAGACAAACUUGAAGAAAAGCAAAAGAACAACGGGGAAAGGAAGUGAAGGAAUCACACCUACACGUCAUCAUUGAAGACAGAGGGGGAGUUCGAACUGAAUUCUACAGCAGGAGACUCCGAGGUCUCCAUCUGGUCCGUUGCGAGCGACUCUGCAGGGCUGAAUUGCUGGAACUGAUGCCUGACAGAAAGGGCAGUAAACAUCAUUUAAUUACAGUAGGAGAAGACAGAAGUGCAUAUGUUUUUUCUGACAAAGCGUGAAUAGAGACAGUGAGGAAACACCCUUCUUAAACUCCCCUUUAAGCCUUUAAGUUUGAGGUGAAGAAGUGGGCGUGACAUUUUUUCCUCAUCUUGAGGCUUUAAAAUGACAAUAAUGGCUAGCCGUGCAUUGUCUUGCAUAAUAAUCAUGGUCAGACUAAGGGCCGGAUCUACAAAAAAUUGACGUGCACUAAAACACGUGCUGAGCUGCGAAACUUGUGCCCAGAGGAUUGUGUCCCUGAAAUAUGCAGAAUAGGUUGUAUUCGGUCACGUGACUUUUGAACGUAAGUAAACGAAUUGGUGGGGCACCAAACCAACAUGGCUACUGUGCAGUAAACAGAGUACGCAAGGGGCCUAGAUCUUACCACUAAAAGCAGAUACGAGUAAAAAAUCAAACUAUGCAAUGGAAUCCAUGCCUAUACGUUGUCAAAAAAAGAUUUGUCGAGUGAUCUCAAGAUUUCUAGGUCGGUCACGUUCCCAGACAUAUCGAACUUUUGCGCUCCAGACGUCAUUCUACACGACAAAACAGAUGAACAUUUUGAAAAGCAUGGAGAUCUACAACUUCUUUGUGUGUGUCUGGGUCAAUGAAAUUAGUAUCAAGAUUCUCCCGGAUAAAUAUUCUUCGUUUUUGCUCGGGUAAGGUUGCAUUUCACGAGGGACAUGUAACCAAAUAUUAACAUUGCUGUAUGUAUACUUUUGAUCCAGCAGAUUUGGUCACAUUUUCAGUAGACCCA